rnacentral:rRNA from 1 species
CGGCGGACGGGUAAGUAACACGUGGGUAACCUGCCUCGAAGUGAGGAAUAGCCUCCCGAAAGGGAGAUUAAUACCUCAUAGUAUUAAUUUUUCGCAUGAAAGAUUAAUUAAAGAAUUUAUUCGCUUCGAGAUGGACCCGCGGCGCAUUAGUUAGUUGGUGAGGUAAUGGCUCACCAAGACAAUGAUGCGUAGCCGACCUGAGAGGGUGAUCGGCCACAUUGGAACUGAGACACGGUCCAAACUCCUACGGGAGGCAGCAGUGGGGAAUAUUGCACAAUGGGCGAAAGCCUGAUGCAGCAACGCCGCGUGAGUGAUGAAGGCUUUCGAGUCGUAAAGCUCUUUGAUCAGGGACGAUAAUGACGGUACCUGAAGAACAAGCCACGGCUAACUACGUGCCAGCAGCCGCGGUAAUACGUAGGUGGCAAGCGUUGUCCGGAAUUAUUGGGCGUA